UAAUCCGUCUGAAGCGCACACCACGUGACAUGUUCGCGCAUGCGCUUCUCCUACCUGGGGGGUCCUGCGCCUAGAAAGGGAGUUCCCAGCAGAUCUUUUCUGCGCUGGGGGCGCUCACCCGGAUUUUAUAAGUCCCGUGGUGCAAGAGACCAUUUUCCUCUGGCAGAAAUAUAGGAAGAUCGUGCCGCUGUCCUCGUGGACCCUCUCCACGCCCGUUUCUCAGUCAGCUGAGCUCUGGGGAGCACAUCGUCUUCCUUGAUCCUCCUGUCCAUCUUGUGGCCAGGACAGGCCCCUCUUCAACUUGUGCAGAGGGUCUUUCUCCCCGCGCCUCUCGUUUUUCUUCAGUUCCUCAGAUCUGCAUUUUGCAGGCCAAGCUUCUCUCCAGGGGGAGCACUCAGGACAACGUGAAAAUGGCUGUGAGACCCAGGAAAAUUAGAAAAAAGAUGAGGCAGCUGAGUCUGAGACCGCUUAGUUAAGAUGGUCAAGAUCCUACAGGCAGAAGCUGGGUUCGAACUCAAGCCGUGUGGCUCUGCGGCCCGCUCGGAGCGCCUGCACACUCCUAUCUGUGUACUUCUUCACAGUGCACACUCCACGCUUGCAGGACGUUUCACGCCCCCAGCUUCUGGCCCCGAACGGCAGCAGCGCGCUGUCUGACACAUCCGCCACCACUGAGAAAUCAGAAGCGCCCUCGUUCAUCUCCAAACGCUUCCCAGGUCAACAUCUCCAGUUGAGAAGGACCAGGGGAAAAAUGGUUAUAAAAAUACAUACGUACACACUCUCUCCCUCUAUCAUCUCUCUAUCUCACAACUUGUCUAAAAGUUUCCUACAUUUUUAUAAAUUUAUAACUUUAAGAACACACAGCAGCACAACUGAUAGGGAAAGAAAAGGAUCAGGUGAUGAACAUGAGGUAAUUUUGUAGGUGUGUUUCUAAUGCUCCUCUUCAUUAUUUGUG
ensembl:lncRNA